AUCUUGGAAACCCCGACGCACGGUGUGAAGGAGGGAAGUGAGGUGACCCUUAACUGUACAAACAAGAAAACUCAGUCAGAACACAUAACUGACUUCUACAAAGAUGGUGUCUCUCUUGGGACCUGGUAUCAAAGCAGCAUGACCAUCAAAAAUGUCUCCAAGUCUGAUGAAGGACUUUACAAGUGCAUCAUAUCUGAAGCUGGAGAAUCACAUGAGAGCUGGUUAGCUGUUAUAAAACAAUUACCUUACAAAGAGACUGAGCUUUCACAAAGUCUCUUCCCUAAAACACUCACUUUGCUGUGGACUGUUAUCUGAGUUUCACUGGUGGAUCUAUUGGUGGUGGGCUUGCUCCUGCAAAACAAAUAUAAAGUAUCAGCCUGUUUUUCUUCACUACAAGGGUCACCCUCAUGUGAAGACAACACAGGCUUCCAAGAAGAGUACACACAAGUGACAUAUGCUGUGCAGAAAGGACUAAAAGUGUCCAGAGCAGACAUCGAUCCAUAUUUUCAAGAAGAGACUGUCAUUUAUUCUUCAGUGAAAUGAGGCACAUACAUUUAUCCAUUCUCUUUCGCUCAUCCAAUUCAAGGUCAUGCUUGGGGCUGGAUCCUAUCCGAGAGCAGGGUGGACAGGUCGCCAGUCUAU